rnacentral:rRNA from 1 species
UACAGAGGUCCCAAGCGUUGUUCGGAUUCACUGGGCGUAAAGGGCGUGUAGGCGGUCCGCUAAGUCUGAUGUGAAAGCCCGGGGCUCACCCCCGGAAGUGCAUUGGAAACUGGCGGACUCGAGUCCCGGAGAGGAGAGUGGAAUUCCUGGUGUAGCGGUGAAAUGCGUAGAUAUCAGGAGGAACACCGAUAGCGAAGGCAGCUCGCUGGGACGGUACUGACGCUGAGGCGCGAAAGCGUGGGGAGCGAACAGG